UACGAAGGGGGCUAGCGUUGCUCGGAAUUACUGGGCGUAAAGCGCACGUAGGCGGCUUUCUAAGUCGGGGGUGAAAUCCUGGAGCUCAACUCCAGAACUGCCUUCGAUACUGGAAAGCUCGAGUCCGGGAGAGGUGAGUGGAACUGCGAGUGUAGAGGUGAAAUUCGUAGAUAUUCGCAAGAACACCAGUGGCGAAGGCGGCUCACUGGCCCGGUACUGACGCUGAGGUGCGAAAGGCGUGGGGAGCAAACAGG
rnacentral:rRNA from 1 species